UACGUAGGGGGCAAGCGUUGUCCGGAUUUAUUGGGCGUAAAGAGCUCGUAGGCGGUUCAGUAAGUCGGGUGUGAAAACUCUGGGCUCAACCCAGAGACGCCACCCGAUACUGCUGUGACUUGAGUACGGUAGGGGAGUGGGGAAUUCCUGGUGUAGCGGUGAAAUGCGCAGAUAUCAGGAGGAACACCGGUGGCGAAGGCGGGUCUCUGGGCCGAUACUGACGCUGAGGAGCGAAAGCGUGGGGAGCGAACAGG
rnacentral:rRNA from 1 species